CCCCGCCUCCUUCCUCUCCCUCUCCCCCUCAGUUUUCUCCACAAAUUAUAGUAUCAUCAUCUAACAGUUUGCAGGAACAGCAAGGAGGCGAUGUUGCAGUAAUUCUUCGAUCAAUUGGUGGAGGAAGCAACCCCAUAGCUGCUCUCAAUGUGGAGCCCGGCACCACCACCCCAGAAUCCUCCUCUAAUAACAACAGUGACCCCAAUCAUGAUCAGGUUCCAUUUCUAUAUAUAUAUAUAUAUAGAGAGAGAGAGAGAGAAAGAGGCUGUUUAUUUGGUUUGUGAUUGAUGUUUCUAUGGGAUUUUUGUUUCAGAAACCUGGAUGGAGCAAUUUUUGUCAUUUAUAGGCCCUGGUUUCCUUGUUUCAUUAGCUUAUCUUCAUCCUGGAAACUAUAAGCCAUUGCCACUCUUUUCUCUACUUUGAUUUUAAUGUUUUCUUAUUUGAUCAUAAUCUGAUUGACGUCAUGUCACAGUGGAAACUGAUUUACAA